CUUAGAGCUGAAGUGGAUGAAGUGGAGUCUGCUCAAAUGCGUGCUUCUAGCAGAAGAGAGAGGAAAGAGACUAUACUGUUGGCUGGCUGGGAUGCUGAUCUGCACAACCUAUAUUUGCACCUCAGCCAGGAUUAGCAGGAGGACCAGGCUGACUAAAACAAUGUCCCUUACAGGAACAGACAAACCACAGAUUUCUCCACAUCAAUGGAGAAAUCUUCAGUCCCUACCUAUUACCUCUACACUCCUCCUGCAACAUGAAGCUGCCAG